rnacentral:rRNA from 1 species
GGCCUCAAACAUGCAAGUCUAGGGGGUAGCAAUACCACCGGCGGACGGGUGCGUAACGCGUGGGAAUAUACCUAUCAGUACGGAACAACUGCGGGAAACUGCAGCUAAUACCGUAUACGUCCGUAAGGAGAAAGAUUUAUCGCUGAUAGAUUAGCCCGCGUUCGAUUAGCUAGUUGGUGAGGUAACGGCUCACCAAGGCGACGAUCGAUAGCUGUUCUGAGAGGAAGAUCAGCCACACUGGGACUGAGACACGGCCCAGACUCCUACGGGAGGCAGCAGUUGGGAAUCUUGGACAAUGGGGGAAACCCUGAUCCAGCCAUGCCGCGUGAGUGAUGAAGGCCUUCGGGUUGUAAAACUCUUUCGACGGGGACGAUAAUGACGGUACCCGUAGAA